rnacentral:rRNA from 1 species
UACGGAGGGUGCGAGCGUUGUCCGGAAUCCCUGGGCGUCAAGGGCGCGUCGGUGGCACGGGUAGUCGUCGGUGAAAGCUCAGGGCUCAACCCUGAGUCGGCCGGUGAUACUCCCGAGCUCGAGUGUGGUAGAGGCCAAUGGAAUUCCGGGUGUAGCGGUGGAAUGCGUAGAGAUCCGGAAGAACACCGGUGGCGAAGGCGGUUGGCUGGGCCACAACUGACACUGAUGCGCGACAGCGUGGGGAGCAAACAGG